rnacentral:misc_RNA from 1 species
GAAAUGCGAUAAGUAAUGUGAAUUGCAGAAUUCAUACGCAUAAUCUUGUCUAUUUUCGCCUUGUGGAGGGCUUUAGAUGUGGUCUUUUUUACAAACUGCGCUUUUUACAAAAAAAGCACCCUUUAACCGUCCUCGGAUCAGGCGGGAUUACCCGCUGAACUUAA